AGAGUUUGAUCCUGGCUCAGAUUGAACGCUGGCGGAAUGCUUUACACAUGCAAGUCGAGCGGCAGCGCGGGGCAACCUGGCGGCGAGCGGCGAACGGGUGAGUAACACAUCGGAACGUGCCCAGACGUGGGGGAUAGCCCGGCGAAAGCCGGAUUAAUACCGCAUACGAUCUAAGGAUGAAAGCGGGGGACUCGCAAGGGCCUCGCGCGUUUGGAGCGGCCGAUGGCAGAUUAGGUAGUUGGUGGGGUAAAGGCUUACCAAGCCUGCGAUCUGUAGCUGGUCUGAGAGGAUGAUCAGCCACACUGGGACUGAGACACGGCCCAGACUCCUACGGGAGGCAGCAGUGGGGAAUUUUGGACAAUGGGCGCAAGCCUGAUCCAGCCAUUCCGCGUGCAGGACGAAGGCCUUCGGGUUGUAAACUGCUUUUGUACGGAACGAAAAGGUCUUCUCUAAUACAGAGGGCCCAUGACGGUACCGUAAGAAUAAGCACCGGCUAACUACGUG
rnacentral:rRNA from 1 species